UGGUCCUCCGCCUUUAUCUCUGAAAAUGAACCUAAUUUUUGAAAACUAAGAUUCUCCCUCAUCCCUUCGUCUUCAUUGAUAAACUCAAGAUAUACAUUUUCUUCAUAAUCUUCUCUAUUCACUAUUCAUAGGCUUUCCAACUGCUUCUGCUAUUCCUUUAUUCCUCAAACCAACGAUUGAUGUCAAAGAAAAAUAUUGUUUAGGGUUUACUUCUAUAGGUAUAGACUUUUUGACAUACAAAUGGAGUCACCACCAUCCGAUGCUAUCUCUACUGCCGGAGCAGCGCACAAUCAUCUAUAUUUCUCUCUCGAUUUAAGGAUGUAGGUGACAAAUCCAAUAUUUUUUUGCAUUUUUCUUAUUGAAUACCUCCUCCAUACACAUAUGCGUUCUCUUUUCCUCCUUUUGUCACAUUAAAAAUCCAAGAAACACUCAAUAAAUUUCAUACUUAUUUCUAAAAUGGGAUCUCAGGGCUUGUAUAUUUUGUGUUUGUUCAUAUUCUGAAAUCAUUAUCUUAUGAUUUGCCAGAGUUCCAACUUCUGAGUUGUAAUCAUUCCAUCCUGAAGAUAACCCUUAUCCAAGCAUCCUCUUUUUUUCAAAAAAAUGAAAAUGAAUACUUGUGGCUAUGUCUUUCUCCUAGCUAAGUAUGUUUUCUUGAGGUGAGAUCACUUGUUUACUCUCUUCUUUUUCUUUGUAGGUAAAAUGAUCAAAUUUAGGCUAAAAAGAUCAAUUUUUAUGUAGGUUGAAAGUAAGCUGGAGACCCACAUUGUUGAAAGUAAAAGAUGGAUUGGGCUAAUCAACUAUUCAUGAUCAUAAAAGAUGUCUUGUGGCAUUGGUUGUUUGAUGUUUUUUUAUUACUACUGCUUUUGUAUUUCUAUCUGAAUCUUUGGUUUAUCGCCACCAGGUAUGCACAACCUUUAAUCACCCAUUGGACGGAAAGAAUGAUCAACAAAGUUGUUCCUUGCAACGUUGGUUAGUGUUAAUCUUAUGAUUACUCGAUGUGCUUAAGUACUUACUUUUUUACCCCUUUCAUUUUAGAAAUCCAGUCAAUUCUCUAAAAGGUUUGAUAUAUUCAUUUCUGCCUCAUGUUUCAAAAUCUUUUUUUUUUUAUGAUUAUUUUUGUGAAGUUGCUCAAAAGACGUUUGUUUUGAUGCGCAGAUGAUGAGUUGAUAUGAAAGCAACUGAUGUUGUCAUUUGGUGAUCAUGUGUUGGAGGUAAAUUCAACAAAGCAUAUGUUGACUAUGUUUAGAAGUAGCAAGUAUGUUUCCGAUUUAUUUUUAAGGAUACUGUGGUGCCAUAGAACAAGAUCUACUUCUGAAUGGUUAAGGCGGGGUACUAAAGUUAUCUUAGAUGCUCAUCUCUGUAGUUGAUUUUAUGUUAAAUAUUUCCUACUACAACAAAUAGACUUGAGGGCAUUUUCCUUGCUCUAUGGAAUUUAUUUUUUAUAUGAAUAUUAUAAAUAAACAUGUCAGGC
rnacentral:lncRNA from 1 species